AGCGCAGGCGGGAAACUAAGCGGAUCUUAAAAGUGCGGGGCUCAACCCCGUGACUGGGGUCCGAACUGGUUUCUUGAGUGCAGGAGAGGAAAGCGGAAUUCCCAGUGUAGCGGUGAAAUCCGUAGAUAUAAGAAGGAACACCAAUGGCGUAGGCAGGUUACUGGACCAUUUCUGACGCUAAGGCACGAAAGCGCGGGGAGCGAACC
rnacentral:rRNA from 1 species